GAUGAAGAACGUAGCGAAAUGCGAUACUUGGUGUGAAUUGCAGAAUCCCGUGAACCAUCGAGUCUUUGAACGCAAGUUGCGCCCGAAGCCACUAGGCCGAGGGCACGCCUGCCUGGGCGUCACACGCCGUUGCCCCCCCAUCUACUCCUUCGGGAUUGCGGGGGGGCGGAUGAUGGCCUCCUGUGCGCCUAGCCGCGCGGUUGGCAUAAAUACCAAGUCCUCGGCGACGCACGCCACGACAAUCGGUGGUUGCGAAGCCUCGGUUGCCCGUCGUGUGCGUUCGUCGCGCAUCGAGGGCUCGAAAAAAUGCUCGGCUCCGGCUGGGCUUUCAACGCGACCCCAGGUCAGGCGGGGUUACCCGCUGAAUUUAAGCAUAUCAAUAAGCGGAGGA
rnacentral:misc_RNA from 1 species